GGCUUGCCAACCUAGUGGGAUGUGAGUUCCUCCAUCUGUUUUACCUUAAGAAAACAUUCCUAGAUAUACCAGAGAAAAAAAAGGGAAGAAAAAUCUUCUGACAGUUGCAUUUUAAUCAGGCAUAUGGUUGAAUGUGAUAUUGUAGUUAAAUUCCUCGAGACAGUUCUGCAAUUGAUUUCAUCUGGCAAUGACUUAUGUGGCUUCAUGACCAUGA
rnacentral:misc_RNA from 1 species